rnacentral:rRNA from 1 species
UACGUAGGGUGCAAGCGUUGUCCGGAAUUAUUGGGCGUAAAGAGCUCGUAGGCGGUCUGUCGCGUCGGCUGUGAAAUCCCGGAGCUCAACUCCGGGUCUGCAGUCGAUACGGGCAAACUGGAGUACUGCAGGGGAGACUGGAAUUCCUGGUGUAGCGGUGAAAUGCGCAGAUAUCAGGAGGAACACCGGUGGCGAAGGCGGGUCUCUGGGCCGAUACUGACGCUGAGGAGCGGAAGCGUGGGGAGCGAACAGG